rnacentral:rRNA from 1 species
UACAGAGGGUGCGAGCGUUGUUCGGAAUUACUGGGCGUAAAGCGCGCGCAGGCGGCUCUUUAAGUCUGACGGUGAAAUGCCGGGGCUCAACCCCGUGCCCGCCGGAGAUACUGGGGAGCUGGAGACGAGUAGAGGCAAGCGGAAUUCCGGGUGUAGCGGUGGAAUGCGUAGAGAUCCGGAAGAACACCGGUGGCGAAGGCGGCCUGCUGGGACAGUGCUGACGCUGAGGCGCGACAGCGUGGGGAGCAAACAGG